UUUAUAAUAAAAUUUUAAAAUUAAAGUGCUUUUUUCUUGCCCAAAAUUUUUAUUCUUAACAACUUAAAUAAUAUUAAAAAAAAAAAUUUAGAGAAAUAUAAAAGAAAAUAUUAUGAAAAAUUAUCUAUAAAAUAACAGAAUUUUCAAAUAAAAAUUAUAGAAAUUAAAUUAUUAAAUAACAAAUUAUGAAUCCAACUUUCUCAUAUUUAAUAAUAUCCUAUAAUAUAUAAAAAAAAAAUAUUUUUCAAUUAAAUUAAAUUAAAUAAAAUUAAAAAAUAUUUCCAUAUUAAAAAUCAACAUAAAUAUUAAUAAAAUAUUGUUUAAUUCAAAUAUUAAACUGCAAGUAGUUGGAAUUUUUAGAAGAGAUAAAGAAAAGAAAAAAAACACGAAAGGAGCAAAAAAUCCUGAAAAGAAACAGAAAUAAGUUUUUGUUUUCUUCUUUAUUGCGAAAAAAAAAUUUUUCUGAAUAAAUUUAUUGAAAUAAAGAAAACAAAAAUAUUUUUUUUAAAUAAAAUUCAGUUUUGGAACAGCCAUCAAGACAACCACAAUAAUAUUCUCUUACAUAUCAAAAGGACAAACGUAUAGUAGAACCCAAGAAAGAAAGAAAGGAAACGAGAAAAUUUACUCUAAUACCAAAAAAUAAAACAAAAAUAAAAAUUAACACAAGGAAAUAUAAAAAUGUUUCGUCGUUUAAUAAAGUUCCAAGCAUAAAAUUCAUAAAAUUCAUAAAAUGAUGUUGUUUAGAUAAAAAAAAAAAUAUUUUCCUUUUUUAAAUUAUUUUUCAAUAAUAAAAGUUUUAAAAUUAAAAUCAUAAUUAUAAUAAUAAAAAAAAUAAUUAUAAUUAAAAGAAAAAAAACGCAAAAAUAUUAAAAAUUUUAUUCAUUCAAAAUUACAAAAAAAAAAAAAAACAAAAUUCUAUUAAAAUUAUAAAACCUUAAUAAUCCUUCAAAUUUCUAUAAUAUAAAAUCGCAUUAUAUAAUACACUAAUAAACACUAUAUACACACACACACGUUGUUAAUAUGUUAUUAUAAAUAUUAAAAAUAUACAACUAUACUACUACUUUUUAUUUAUAAAAUAAAAAUCAAAUAAAAAUCAAAUAAAAAUCAAGGAAUUUCUCGAAAAAAAAAAAUUAUAUAAAAAAAAUUUUUUUCUAAAUAAAAUUUAAAAUCUAAAUGUUAAAUUUCGGUUCUGACUCGAUUUCUCGGUAUACUUUUCUUAAAAUAAUAAAAUAGUAUAAAAUAAAAUAAAAAAAACGCAAAAGAAAAAAAUAAUUAUUAAUUUCCUGAACGUUGGAAUAAACAGAUAACAUCAGGAUUCUUCCAAACCGGAGAAGUUCAUCUUAGCAUUGUAAGUUUUUGCACAGCCUUGAAAGUUUAUUGCACAAGGUAGAGUAUAAAGGUAUAAUAAUAUUAAAUUGAUGCUUUUUUUUCAUUUUAAGUAAGCUAGAGUCAUAGAAAUAAGGGAAGGGUAUUUUUCUUUACAAAAAAAUUCUUUUAAUAUUAUAAAAUUCUUGUUUAUUUUAAAAACAAACUACUGUUUUUCUUUUUAUGGUUGAAUAGAUUUUUAGUUUUUACUUUGAGUUAUUGUGCAAAAAGCAAAAAAGAAGAAAAACGUGAAAUCAAGUUCGUAUUUGAAAAAUGUUCAGAUUCGUUAGGUUUCCUUGUUUUUUUUACGUUUUUUUCGCAUUUGAACUUCUUUGACGUAACUCUUUUUUAUUAACGUAACAAAUCCUUCUGAUUUUAACAUCCAUUUCGAGGAUAACUAAUGACUUUAUGAAUGCCAGUUGCAGAUGCUUUGUAAAUUUUUUUUAUCUAUUUUGCAUAAUUUCUUAUACCUUACUUAAUAGAGCUAAUAAAUAUUUUUAUUCGUUUGGUAAAAAGAUCUGAGUUACAUUCAAAUAAUAUGCAUAAAAUGCCAAUCCAUGCAUAAAUGUACAUUUUAUUUGCAUAUUUUAUUAAAAAGCUCAAAAAAGUUGAUUAACGACCUACUCUUUGUGAGAUUUCACUUUAUUUUAAGUAAUUUUCUAUGAAAAUUAGAUUGCUUGGUACAUGAUAAUUAGAUAGACAAUAAUUAGGUUAGAUUUGAUUAGAUUAGGUGUGCAAUUAGACUUCUUAAUUUAUAAUGCGAAAUGAAACGUUUAAACGGGUUUUACUUAAAAGGAAGAGUUCUUUUUGAAGCCGGUGAAAAGUCGGGAAUGUUUCUUUGAUAUGUCUUUUUAAUGUUUGUUCACUAAUUUAUCUUUUUUUUUUUAUUUCAUUGAUUCAAAAAUUUGUUGAGACAAUAAUUGCUAGAUAAUAGAAAACUGGAAAAGUUUUGUUUGGGAUAUGGCCCUUUUAUUGUAUUUGUCAUAUGGUUGGAGGAAUUUCAGUGAAGUAUGAAAUAUGUAACAUAUGGGGAAUGGGAAAAUCCAUCUACAUGCUAGUGAUGCGGCCACACCCAGGUGGUGAACUAAUAAAACACUUAGAAAGGGGGAAUUUUUGAAAACAAAAUAAAAUCAGUGUUCAAUCUUAAAUUUUUCAAAUCUUAACACAUUAUUUAAAAAAAAAAGUUCAACAUAUUGUUUACGGAUUUGUUCAAGAUUGAGAUUUUAUAUGACUCCACUAAAUUUGGCGAAUUAAAUUUUUGUUGAAAUACACUUCCCGACUGUUCUACGUAUUUCAGCGUCGACUUAUACCAUUUGUAUUAAAAUUUAUAGUUGUAACAGUGCAUGUAAUUAAUUCUAACAGCUUUGGGAAAUAUUAGAACUCAGAACGCUUUCAUUUUAAUAAG